UAAGAGCAAAUGAGAGUGAAAAGAAUUGA
rnacentral:piRNA from 1 species